GCAGCAGCCGCGGUAAUACGUAGGGUGCAAGCGUUAAUCGGAAUUACUGGGCGUAAAGCGUGCGCAGGCGGUUUGUUAAGACAGAUGUGAAAUCCCCGGGCUCAACCUGGGAACUGCAUUUGUGACUGGCAAGCUAGAGUAUGGCAGAGGGGGGUGGAAUUCCGCGUGUAGCAGUGAAAUGCGUAGAUAUGCGGAGGAACACCGAUGGCGAAGGCAGCCCCCUGGGCCAAUACUGACGCUCAUGCACGAAAGCGUGGGGAGCAAACAGGAUUAGAUACCCCCGUAGUCCCUGUCUCUUAUAC
rnacentral:rRNA from 1 species